GACGAACGCUGGCGGCGUGCUUAACACAUGCAAGUCGAACGGAAAGGCCCUGCUUUUGUGGGGUGCUCGAGUGGCGAACGGGUGAGUAACACGUGAGUAACCUGCCCUUGACUUUGGGAUAACUUCAGGAAACCGGGGCUAAUACCGGAUAGGAGCUCCUGCUGCAUGGUGGGGGUUGGAAAGUUUCGGCGGUUGGGGAUGGACUCGCGGCUUAUCAGCUUGUUGGUGGGGUAGUGGCUUACCAAGGCUUUGACGGGUAGCCGGCCUGAGAGGGUGACCGGCCACAUUGGGACUGAGAUACGGCGCAGACUCCUACGGGGGGCAGCAGUGGGGAAUAUUGCAGAAUGGGCGGAAGCCUGAUGCAGCAACGCCGCGUGCGGGAUGACGGCCUUCGGGUUGUAAACCGCUUUCGCCUGUGACGAAGCGUGAGUGACGGUAAUGGGUAAAGAAGCACCGGCUAACUACGUG
rnacentral:rRNA from 1 species